AUGGUUGUAGGAGAGGUCCACGAUGGAGGCAUGCGGCAGCGCGAAGAUGCCCGGCGGCACGUCGCCCUCCAGGUGGUUGCUGCUGACGCGGAACCGGAGGAGCGGCAGGCAGUCGGCGUAGGCCGCCGGGAUGGUGCCGGUGAGCAGGUUGCUGAGGACAAGGAUGUACUGGAGCUUACCGUUGGCGCAGGCGUGCGGCGGCAGCGGGCCCGUCAGCUGGUUCUCGGAGACCUCCAGCACGUUGAAGUCGGAGUAGCGGCCGAGGUCGGCGGGGAGCUCGCCGGUGAGCUGGUUCUUGUACACGGACAGGAUCUCGAGCUGCGUGGAGUUGCCCAGCACGGCCGGGAUGGGCCCGGUGAGGAAGUUUGUGUAGAGCUGCAGCACGCGGAGGCGCGGCAGCGCGCAGAGCGAGUCCGGGAUGGCGCCGCCGAGGCGGUUCUCGGAGAAGUCGACGUCGGCGAGACGCGUGAGGUUGCCGAGCUCGUCGGGGAUGGCGCCCUCCAGGUCGUUGUAGUAGAGCUCGAGGAACUCGAGGUUGGCGAGGCGGCCGAGCGACGCCGGGAUGCGGCCGGUGAGGGAGUUGCCGCUGAGCUCGAGGUCGGUGAGCGACGUCAUGUUGCCGAGCCACGCCGGCACGCCGCCGCGCAUGGACGUGGUGGACACGAUGAGCACGCGGAGGCGCCGCAGCCGCGUGAGCGCCUCCGGCGGGCGCCAGACGUCGAACCCGGGGUUCUCGUUGAAGUUGAUCACCUCCAGCGAGGCCAUGCCGGCGAGGGACGCGGCCGGGAACGCGCCGGAGAAGAGGUUGUCGGAGAGGUCGAGCACCCGCAGCGCCCGCAUCGGGGACAGGUCCGGCAGCGCGCCCGACACGGCGGCGAAGCUGAGGUUGAGCGUCUCGAGGGACGAGCAGUUGAGGAGGCCCGGCGGGAAGCCGCCGCGGAUCUCGUUGUAGGCGAGCAGGAGGUCCCGGAGCGCCGGCAGCGCCGCGCAGAUGCCGGGCGGGAGCCUGCCGGUGAGCCGCCACGAGGUGAGGUCGAUGCCCGUGACGUUGCCAUCUGUCCCAUCACAAACCACGCCCUGGAACCGGCAGUAGUCGACCGGCGUGGCCGACGAGAAGUCCCAGCGCGCCAUGGCCGGGCCGGCGAGCUCCUGCUUGAGCCGGGACAGGUACGCGGCCUGGGCGUCCAAUGCCGCCGCGCCAUCGCCGGCCGCCGACAGGAGAGCGACGAGGACGAGCAGCAAGGCCGUCGAGCACAGCGUGGCCACCAUGGCGCCUGUAUCCAGCACGUACGCACCUAG
rnacentral:rRNA from 1 species